rnacentral:rRNA from 1 species
AACGUAGGAGACAAACGUUAUCCGGAGUUACUGGGCGUAAAGGGCGUGCAGGUGGCUUGAUAAGUUCGGCGUGAAAUUUCCCGGCUUAACCGGGGGAUGUCGUCGGAGACUGUCGAGUUAGAGGGUGAUAGAGGCGUGUGGAAUUCCGGGUGUAGUGGUGAAAUGCGUAGAGAUCCGGAGGAACACCAGUGGCGAAGGCGACACGCUGGGUCAUACCUGACACUAAAACGCGACAGCAUGGGGAGCGAACGGG